GCACAUCCCCUUCUGGGGAUCGAACCUGCAACCUGGGCAUGUGCCCUUGACUGGAAUCGAACCCAGGACCCUUCAGUCCGAAAGCCGACGCUCUAGCCACUGAAGCAAACCAGCUAGGGCCAAAUCUAGAAUUUUUUAAACCUGGAGGCAUUGACAGUACAGAAGAAAGUCUGAAGUGAUCAUUGUGGAUAAAGAUCAUUUGAGAGCAGGAAGAUCACAUUCCUUCAGUAAAUUUUGAGGAAGUAAUUUUCAGAUAUCUGAUUGACAUCAAUGACCAUUUACAAACAGAGCUUUAGUUGCAUUACUGUCUCCUAGGUACUUUAAAUAUCCAAAACAACUUUAUCUCCGAAAUCUCAAAUUUAGAAAUUCACCUCUGACCAUAACAGCUCUAUUUCUUUACACAGUCAAGUCAGGUUAUUAUCCAUCUACACCUGUCUCAUAAGCCCUGUUUAAAUUUUCAAUUGAUCUAUCAUUUCAUAUCACUGUUGUCAGUAUCCCAAAUAACCCUUCCCUAUGUGAUGCCUUCCUGGAAAAUCCCUUGAAAUAGCUAAUCCUCUACAGAUUAUUUCUAGAGAAAAACACCAAAUGCACAAAUCAGUAUUAACUAAAAGUUAAUGUUAAUUGAUCUCAACACUGCAUUGGUGUUUUCUCUAGUCAAACUCUUUUCCCAUUCUCCUAAAUAACAUUUUAAAACCUCUGUUCGCAAACUUGUCUGGCAUCAAUGACCCUCUCUUUUCUCCUUCCCUCUUAACAUGUCUUUGCCUUCCAGCUUACAUAAGAAAUAGAGAUUUUUAUCAGGCAGAUGGUCUCUGAAUGUCCACCUAAAUCCACAGCCAUGGAAAAGUCUCACUACUCCAGGUCACAUCCCAGUUCUACCACCUUAGCUGAUAAACUGAGUGACCUUGGAUCUAAAUAGGCCUGAAGCCCUAGUCCCUGGCUGUAAAAUGAGUGUAGCAAUAGCAACCACCCUAGAUGGUUACUGUGAGAAUUAGAUAAAACAGGUAAGAAGCUUUAGCAUACCAGUAGUUAAUAAGUGCUCAAUAAAUGCUAGCUACUGCUAAUCCUUUACAUCUUGUGAACCUAAAGCUUUUGAUUAUCUGCUUUUGAGCCUUCAACCCCUCCCUUAAUCUAUUGAACCCUCCCUUUUCUGUCUGCAUUUAUACUCCAAAAGAUUUCACAUCUUUUUAAAAAAAGAUUGUUCCUGGAUAUCAUGUACUUCAGCUAUAAUCUUAAUUCCACACAUUCUACAUCCAAUUUUAAUAACUUGUUUCUAUUACUGCCUCUAUUUACUCACUGCCAUCCCUUCCCUCCUCAGUUACUUCAAUAUGGUUUCACCCAACUUUGAUAUAACUGCAUUGAAAACUACUUUCAUCACAUCGAUGAUUCCAUUUUCCUUAAACAGCCUUUCUCCCACUCUCAGAAGGUGUCCCAGUUACUCCUGGCAACAGGAAAAACCACAGGAGUGCUUCCGGCAUGCUCCUCCCAAGGUGGACCACCGCAGUUAUCAAGCAGUGCCUUCCCUGUUUCCUCCAAUAUCUGACACUUCACUGUCCCCCGGAGCUGGAAGGACCCUAACUUGCACCUACUGAAGAUGCUGCCUCUUGUGCCAUCAUCAGCACCAAGAUGUUGCCUCCUAAGGCUUUUGUAUGGAGACAUUUUGCCUGCCCAUCUUUCCAAAUUAUGUGAGGCCGUUUUCUAAAGGACUGUUAUGUUAAACACUAGAGGCCCAGUGCAUAAAAUUCAUGCAUUGGGGGGUAGGGGUCCCACAGCCUGGCUUGCACCCUCUCGCAAUCCGGGACCCUUUGGGGAUGUCCGACUGCUGGUUUAGAGGUUAGAAAAAACCUUGUGAGAAAAAAAUAAAAACAGAGGCCACUCCAGUGAGGGUGGGUUCUGAGGAACUAGGGUUAACUUUCUGCCUGAAGAUUAGCCAGACCAGGGAAGAGGGGAGGAAGGAAUGUGUGUAAUGUGUGAGUGAGAGUGUGUGUGUGUGUGUGUGUGUGUGUGUGUGUGUGUGUGUGUGAGAGAGAGAGAGAGCGAGAGAGAGACCAAGAGACCCCCAAAGACUCCAUAUUCUUUUGUUCUAAAGCACAAAACUGCUUUCCCUACGCUUGUUCCUCUGCACAUCCUCUCCACCCCAUUGUCCUCUGGCUGUUCCUGCUGCGGGAUCUCUAGCUACACCUCUCAUUGGAUGCCCCAAGGCUUCUUAGCUGCCCCAGGGUGGGGUUCCUAUGGGAGUCUCUCAUACAUGUGGGAUCUGGGGACCUGAGGAACUUAACAUGCUGACAGGGAACCUUUGGUCAUUGGAGACCCUGAGCUAGAGGAUACAUGCUCUUCUUUCAUACCUCGGGUGAGUAAUUUUGAGGUGCUUUUACAUGGCUCUUCAAGUCUCAGUGAGACUGAGCCCCAAGUUUCAAACAACAGUGGUCACCAGCUCGAGAAGUUACCUUUCUACUGUUUUCCCCUCCUUUUGUUUCCGCUUCUGUUCCACAGAGUCAUUUCCCAAAUAUACUAUCUACUGCAAGGCCCUGCCCCUGUGGCUGUGUUCUACGGGCAACCCAGGCUGACAGGCUUAUACCCAGAAUCCCUACAAAUCAGCAAGACAAAGAUACACGACCCAAUAGAAGAAGAUGAGAUUUGACCGGCACGUCACAAAAAAGGAAAUCCAGAUGGUCAAUGAACAUUUGAAAAAAUGUUCAAUGUCACUAAUAAGGGAGAUGCUAAUACACCUGUAUCAUACACAUCAAAAUGCCUUAAGAAAGGUUUUUUGCAUAUAUUAUCUAUUGCUGGGUAACAAAUUACCCCUAAAGUUAGCAUCUUAAGGAAACAAACAUUUAUCUCAUAGUUUCUGUGAGUUGGGAAUCUGGGCUUAGCUGGGUGCCUCUGGCCAAGGCUGUCUACAAACUAAUCAAGGUGUCAGCCAGGUCUGCAAUCAUCUCAAAGUUCAACGUGGAGGAGACCCCACUUCCAAGCUCCCUCUCAGCUCUCAGGUGCUCUGAGGCUGUUGGUCAGAGAUGUCAGUUCCUUCCCUGGGGGCAUCUUCAUAGAUUAACUCACAACAUGACUCCUCACAGUAAGCAAGGGAGGAUGCCCAAGACAGAAGCUACAGUCUUGUCACCUCAUCUUGAAAGUGGCAUCCUGUUGUAUUCCGUUAUAUUCUAUUCAGUAGAAGCGAACACUUGGGGGGAGGGCUUAUUCAUGGGGUCAUUGGGGACCAUCUGGGAGGCUGCACCACAGGAGGAUAUGGAGUAAUUCAUAUAUUGAGGGUAGGAGUACAGAGUAGUACUACUGCUUUGGAAAACAGUGGCAUUUUCUUCCUAAAUUGAAGAUACGUUUAUCUUAUGAACUAGCACCUCUAUGUCUAGGUAUAUUCCAAAAGAAAUAGAGUUCACAUACCCGAAGAGACAUGUAUAUAAAUGUUGACAGCAUCAUUUAUUUGUAAUAGCUCCCAACUGGAAACACCCACAUGUCCUUCGAUAGUAGAAUGGAUAAAUGAUUGUUGAAUAUGCCUUCAAUGGAUACAACAAAAUAAGCGAAACGUAGUUACAUGGAUGGGUAUCACAUCAUAAUGUUUAGUGAAAAAAAAGCUAGACAAAGGAAUGCAUUCUUUAUUUUUUCAUUCGUACUCAUUUCAGAAAAUAAACAAAACUAAGCUACAGUA